rnacentral:lncRNA from 1 species
GCUCUUUGAAAGCAGGAAAGAGGCUGAAACGGGGCUGUGAACUUGAUGUUCUCCUGGGAACUCAGAUGAAAAACUUUCUGUUUGGGAGUUAAAUUAGGAAAACCUAUACACGGAGGUUGGGAGUAAACCAAACAACUACGUGUUGGUGAGAAACUGAGGAGUCUGAGACUACAGGAGACUAAUCGAGGUGACCUAAUCCUAAGGGGACACAGCAGGAGUCUUUAGAAUCUGCUUACCGGAAGCUAUUCACCUGUAGUUCAUGGUUUGGUGAACGCCUGUGUGAACCGAAGACUGGACAGGUUUUUUGGCUUAUCGUAUGUCAGAAAGGAAGGCUAUUUAUUGUAUCCUGACUACGUGGAAUAGUCAGCUGGGGGCGUCCGAUUCAUCUGCUCAGGUCAUCCUCAGGGAAUCCAGCGACGUUAACUUCAUUUCCAGACUCUCUUCCCAUCGUCUGAUCUCCUGCUGACGUCACCCAUUGGCUGAACUGAACUAGAUACCGGAGGAGCCUGGGUGACUCAACACUUAAAGAAACCUGGUAAUGAAGGGAUUAUCCUCCCAUUUUACAGACGAAGAAACUGAGGCUUGGGAAAGUUAAGCAACUUGACUAAAGCCCAAUGAUUGGAAACUGGAGCCAGGAUUCAUU